rnacentral:rRNA from 1 species
UUUGCAUAUCAAAUAAGCGGAGGAAAAGAAACUAACAAGGAUUCCCCUAGUAGCGGCGAGCGAAGCGGGAAGAGCUCAAAUUUAUAAUCUGGCACUUUCAGUGUCCGAGUUGUAAUCUCUAGAAGUGUUUUCCGCAUUGGACCGCACACAAGUCUGUUGGAAUACAGCGGCACAGUGGUGAGACCCCCGUAUACGGUGCGGAUGCCCAAUGCUUUGUGAUACACUUUCGAAGAGUCGAGUUGUUUGGGAAUGCAGCUCAAAUUGGGUGGUAAAUUCCAUCUAAAGCUAAAUAUUGGCGAGAGACCGAUAGCGAACAAGUACCGUGAGGGAAAGAUGAAAAGCACUUUGGAAAGAGAGUUAACAGUACGUGAAAUUGUUGGAAGGGAAACGCUUGAAGUCAGACUUGCUAUUCGGGGCUUGCUCCGAGUUGCAGGCCAGCAUCAGUUUUCUGGGGUGGAAAAUCACGGUUAGAAGGUAGCAACUCCGGUUGUGUUAUAGCUUUCCGUUGGAUACAUCCUGGGGGACUGAGGAACGCAGUGUGCUUUUAGCAGGAGCUUCGGCUUCAUCACACUUAGGAUGCUGGUGGAAUGGCUUUAAACGACCCGUCUU